rnacentral:rRNA from 1 species
CCCGCUGAACUUAAGCAUAUCAGUAAGCGGAGGAAAAGAAACUAACAAGGAUUCCCUGAGUAACGGCGAGUGAAACGGGAAAAGCUCAAAUUUAAAAUCUGGCAUCCUUUGGGUGUCCGAAUUGUAAUUAAGAGGGUUUUCUUUUGACGAAGGUGAUGGCCAAAGUUCUCUGGAAAGGGACAACAAAGAGGGUGACAUUCCCGUCUGGGUCAUUGCCGGAGUCAGUAUAAAGGAGGCUCUAAGAGUCGGAUUGUUUGGGAAUGCAGUCCAAAAUGGGUGGUACAUUUCAUCUAAAGCUAAAUAUAUGCAAGAGACCGAUAGCGAACAAGUACCGUGAGGGAAAGAUGAAAAGAACUUUGAAAAGAGAGUUAAAUAGUACGUGAAAUUGUUAAAAGGGAAACGAUUGAGACCAGUGAUGUGGCGGUCCUUGAGCAUGUCUUUCGGGACAUGUGUUUGGGCUUGUCACGAGUCGACGCUUCUUUUGUACCUUGGAAAAGACGAAAGGAAAGAUGGCUCCAUCUUCGGGUGGCUGCUUUAUAGUCCUUACGGGAUACAGGGUGCGGGAGAAGACAGGUAGGGUCGUAAGGCUCACGUCGACAAAAUGGUCUUAAACGACCCGUCUUGAAACACGG